UGCUGUCUGUCUGGGUGGAAUUGGGGU
rnacentral:piRNA from 1 species